UAGGGAAUCUUCCGCAAUGGACGCAAGUCUGACGGAGCAACGCCGCGUGAGUGAAGAAGGAUUUCGGUUCGUAAAACUCUGUUGUUAGAGAAGAACAGCGCAUAGAGUAACUGUUAUGCGUGUGACGGUAUCUAACCAGAAAGCCACGGCUAACUACGUGCCAGCAGCCGCGGUAAUACGUAGGUGGCAAGCGUUGUCCGGAUUUAUUGGGCGUAAAGCGAGCGCAGGCGGUCAAUUAAGUCUGAUGUGAAAGCCCCCGGCUCAACCGGGGAGGGUCAUUGGAAACUGGUUGACUUGAGUGCAGAAGAGGAGAGUGGAAUUCCAUGUGUAGCGGUGAAAUGCGUAGAUAUAUGGAGGAACGCCAGUGGCGAAGGCGACUCUCUGGUCUGUAACUGACGCUGAGGCUCGAAAGCGUGGGUAGCAAACAGG
rnacentral:rRNA from 1 species